AUUGAACGCUGGCGGCAGGCCUAACACAUGCAAGUCGAGCGGAUGAAGGGAGCUUGCUCCUGGAUUCAGCGGCGGACGGGUGAGUAAUGCCUAGGAAUCUGCCUGGUAGUGGGGGAUAACGUCCGGAAACGGGCGCUAAUACCGCAUACGUCCUGAGGGAGAAAGUGGGGGAUCUUCGGACCUCACGCUAUCAGAUGAGCCUAGGUCGGAUUAGCUAGUUGGUGGGGUAAAGGCCUACCAAGGCGACGAUCCGUAACUGGUCUGAGAGGAUGAUCAGUCACAUUGGAACUGAGACACGGUCCAGACUCCUACGCGAGGCAGCAGUGGGGAAUAUUGGACAAUGGGCGAAAGCCUGAUCCAGCCAUGCCGCGUGUGUGAAGAAGGUCUUCGGAUGGUAAAGCACUUUAAGUUGGGAGGAAGGGCAGUAAGUUAAUACCUUGCUGUUUUGACGCUACCAACAGAAUAAGCACCGGCUAACUUCGUG
rnacentral:rRNA from 1 species